rnacentral:snRNA from 1 species
GUGCUCGCUUUGGCAGCACAUAUACUAAAAUUGGCCAUACAGAGAAGAUUAGCAUGACCCUGCACAAGGAGAACACGUACAUUCGUGAAGCGUUUCAUUUUUUU